rnacentral:vault_RNA from 1 species
GUGUUGGCUUAGUCACGUGGAUACUUCGUUCUUUCAUUUGAGAAACUCCCCAGUUAUUUCCACUGACGCCAUCCAACACUUUU